rnacentral:tRNA from 1 species
GCCCCUGUAGUGUAGUCCGGUCUAGCAUUCAAGACUGUCACUCUUGAGUUUCUCUCAUUCAGAGAGAAAUGGGGACAGACCCGGGUUCAAGUCCCGGCGGGGGCGCCA